CCUACGGGAGGCAGCAGUGGGGAAUAUUGGGCAAUGGGCGCAAGCCUGACCCAGCGACGCCGCGUGAGGGAAGACGGUCUUCGGAUUGUAAACCUCUUUCAGCAGGGAAGACAAAAGGACGGUACCUGCAGAAGAAGCCACGGCUAACUACGUGCCAGCAGCCGCGGUAAUACGUAGGUGGCAAGCGUUAUCCGGAAUUACUGGGUGUAAAGGGAGCGUAGGCGGGAUGUCAAGUCAGAAGUGAAAAUUAUGGGCUCAACUCAUAACCUACUUUUGAAACUGAUAUUCUUGAGUGAAGUAGAGGCAAGCGGAAUUCCUAGUGUAGCGGUGAAAUGCGUAGAUAUUAGGAGGAACACCAGUGGCGAAGGCGGCUUGCUGGGCUUUUACUGACGCUGAGGCUCGAAAGCGUGGGGAGCAAACAGGAUUAGAUACCCCUGUAGUC
rnacentral:rRNA from 1 species